AUUGAACGCUGGCGGUAUGCUUAACACAUGCAAGUCGAACGAUGAGAAAGAGCUUGCUCUUUCGAUUAGUGGCGGACGGGUGCGUAACGCGUAGGAAUCUACCUAUUAGUGGGGGACAACUUAGGGAAACUUAAGCUAAUACCGCAUACGCCCUACGGGGGAAAGAAGGGGAUCGCAAGACCUUUUGCUAAUAGAUGAGCCUGCGUAGGAUUAGCUAGUUGGUGGGGUAAAAGCUCACCAAGGCGACGAUCCUUAACUGGCUUGAGAGAAUGAUCAGUCACACUGGAACUGAGACACGGUCCAGACUCCUACGGGAGGCAGCAGUGGGGAAUAUUGGACAAUGGGCGAAAGCCUGAUCCAGCAAUACCGCGUGUGUGAAGAAGGCCUUAGGGUUGUAAAGCACUUUCAAUUGGAAGGAAAACCUCGAAGCUAAUACCUUCGAGUUUGACAUUACCUUUAGAAGAAGCACCGGCUAACUCCGUGCCAGCCGCCGCGGUAAAAC
rnacentral:rRNA from 1 species